rnacentral:rRNA from 1 species
UACGUAGGGAGCAAGCGUUGUCCGGAAUCAUUGGGCGUAAAGCGCGCGUAGGCGGCCCCGUAAGUCCGCUGUGAAAGUCGGGGGCUCAACCCUCGGAUGCCGGUGGAUACUGUCGGGCUCGAGUCCGGAAGAGGCGAGUGGAAUUCCUGGUGUAGCGGUGAAAUGCGCAGAUAUCAGGAGGAACACCGAUGGCGAAGGCAGCUCGCUGGGACGUGACUGACGCUGAGACGCGAAAGCGUGGGGAGCAAACAGG